UUCAUGUCUGUGUUGAACCUUGGUCUCUUGUCUUUCAGACUUUACUACAGAGCUCUGCAAGCCGUAAGACACAGAAGAAAAAGAAAAAGAAGGCCUCAAAGACAGCAGAAAAUGCAACUGGACAGCCAACCGAGGACACAGAAGCCGUAGAAUAAAUAAAUAAAUAAAUACUGCCUUUCCACACAUGCAAGACCCCAAAGAGAAGCAAGAGAAAACAUGACAAAUUGCCUCUGCCCGUUAAACACCUAAUAGAGUUGUUUUCACCAAUUAAACCGAUUAAUUUUUGAUCCUACAAGACUUAACCCUUUACUGCAUUCACGGAAAGUACCAUGUUGCUUUUUCCUCCUAAACUUGAGUAUUAAAUAAACAAUUUGUUUUA